GCAUCGAAUAUGGACGAAAUUUUCCGGAAAAAAGUUCUCUUAUAGGUUUUUAAUUGGAAUGAGAUUACUGGUCGAAAAGUACUGGUCAGACAUACAGUAAAUACAAACAAAAGUACGCAUCAAAUAGUGUAACCAAUUAAAUGCGCUUACAAUCUAAAGAAGGGAAAAAAAGUCACUGGUGUCGAUACUAAUAAUAUUGUG